rnacentral:rRNA from 1 species
CCCUUAGAUGUUCUGGGCCGCACGCGUGCUACACUGAGUAAAUCAAUGGGUAAGGGAACACGAAAGUGCAACCUAAUCUUGAAAUUUGCUCGUGAUGGGGAUCGACGGUUGCAAUUUUACGUCGUGAACGAGGAAUACCUUGUAGGCGCGUGUCAUCAUCACGCGCCGAAUACGUCCCUGCCCUUUGUACACACCGCCCGUCGCUCCUACCGAUUGAGUGAUCCGGUGAGGCUCUGGGACCUGGACGGAAAGAGCGUUUCGCUUGUUCUGUUUGGGAAACUUGGUCGAACCUUAUCAUUUAGAGGAAGGAGAAGUCGUAACA